rnacentral:rRNA from 1 species
UAANANGNGAGUGACCUGCCUUUUAGACUGGAACAACUUACCGAAAGGUGAGCUAAUGCCGGAUGAGUUAUAUAAGUGCAUGUUUAUAUAGGAAAAGUUGGGGAGACCUGACGCUGAAAGAUGGACUCGCGUCCCAUUAGCUAGUUGGUAGGGUAAUGGCCUACCAAGGCGACGAUGGGUAGCCGGCCUGAGAGGGUGGCCGGCCACACUGGGACUGAGACACGGCCCAGACUCCUACGGGAGGCAGCAGUGGGGAAUUUUGCGCAAUGCUCGUAAGAGUGACGCAGCGACGCCGCGUGAAUGACGAAGGCCUUCGGGUCGUAAAGUUCUUUCGACAGGGAAGAAAAUGCCUAUAAGUAACUGUGUAUGUAUUGACGGUACCUGUAUAAGCAGCCCCGGCUAACUCCGUGCCAGCAGCCGCGGUAAUACGGAGGGGGCGAGCGUUGUUCGGAGUGACUGGGCGUAAAGAGCACGUAGGCGGUGUUGUAAGUCAUUAGUCAAAGACUAGAGCUCAACUUUAGUAAGGCUAGUGAUACUAUAAUACUAGAGUAUCAGAGAGGAUUGCAGAAUUCCUGGUGUAGCGGUGAAAUGCGUAGAUAUCAGGAGGAAUACCGUUAGCGAAGGCGGCAAUCUGGCUGGAAACUGACGCUGAGGUGCGAAAGCGUGGGUAGCAAACAGGAUUAGAUACCCUGGUAGUCCACGCUGUAAACGAUGGAUGCUAGGUGU